GUGCCAGCAGCCGCGGUAAUUCCAGCUCCAAUAGCGUAUAUUAAAGUUGUUGUGGUUAAAAAGCUCGUAGUUGAACCUUGGGCCUGGCUGGCCGGUCCGCCUCACCGCGUGCACUGGUCCGGCCGGGCCUUUCCCUCUGUGGAACCCCAUACCCUUCACUGGGCGUGGCGGGGAAACAGGACAUUUACUUUGAAAAAAUUAGAGUGCUCCAGGCAGGCCUAUGCUCGAAUACAUUAGCAUGGAAUAAUAAAAUAGGACGCGCGGUUCUAUUUUGUUGGUUUAUAGGACCGCCGUAAUGAUUAAUAGGGACAGUCGGGGGCAUCAGUAUUCAACUGUCAGAGGUGAAAUUCUUGGAUCAGUUGAAGACUAACUACUGCGAAAGCAUUUGCCAAGGAUGUUUUCAUUAAUCAGGAACGAAAGUUAGGGGAUCGAAGACGAUCAGAUACCGUCGUAGUCUUAACCAUAAACUAUGCCGACUAGGGAUCGGACGGUGUUAUUCAUGACCCGUUCGGCACCUUACGAGAAAUCAAAGUGCUUGGGCUCCAGGGGGAGUAUGGUCGCAAGGCUGAAACUUAAAGAAAUUGACGGAAGGGCACCACCAGGGGUUGGAGCCUGCGGCUUAAUUUGACUCAACACGGGGAAACUCACCAGGUCCAGACACAAUAAGGAUUGACAGAUUGAGAGCUCUUUCUUGAUUUUGUGGUGGUGGUGCAUGGACGAUCUUAGUUGGUGGGGGUGACUUGUCUGCUUAAUUGCGAUAAACGAACGGAGGACCUUAAACCUGCUAAAUAGGCCCGCAUUUGCUUCCGGCAGGUGCGCUUGGCUUCUUAGAAGGGGAC
rnacentral:rRNA from 1 species